GGUGGAGCGGGACGAAGAUGGCCUGCGGACGGAGGAGCGGGACCGAACCGUUCUGGCGCGGCGCCCACCUCGCGGGGCGGGAAACCCGGCCGUCGGAUCGCUUGGGGUGCGAGGUGGCGGCGGACUGAGUUGGCGUGGGCGCCCACACCGCAAGUGUCUCCGGCGGUAGGGACUCCAGUGAGGUUUCCCCUGGAGCCAGCGCCACGCGUGACGGGCCUCGCGUUGCCGUGGGCUGCGAGGCGGCCCCGGACCGUGGGCGGAGACGGCACACGCGUGCGCACCCACGGGCGUGCGGGCGGGCUCUGUUCCAUGCGGCGUGACGCGCGGUUCCGUUAAUCCUCACCGCAGGUUCCAGUCCCUGGUGGCGGAGGCGCUGGCUCCUCAGCGGUGCGGCCCCCGCACAAGGGAGCCUGUGUGAGGAGUACAUAUUCGGGGAAAAAACGAAGUGGCCAACGCCUAUUUUUACCUACUUGACAAAAAUAAAUAAAUAAAUGACAGGCAGAGGGCCAGGACAGGGGCUUUCUAUGGCGUGUAGAGGAAGUUCUGCCGGUUACAUUUGUUUCGGAAACAAUGUUCCGAAUUGCAGCAAUGAAGUCCUGCGAUUUAUAGAAGCUGUCGGUCAUUAAAUCUGCAUCAUCCCUGUUUUGUUGCAAGUUCUCUAUAACAUGCUCCAUUAAAAUGUAGACAAGAUUGUCAAAUUAACCAUUUUGAGAGUUGGCCCUGGCUAUAAUUUUCUGGGAAUCAUCUCACUGUAUUUUAAAUGUGUACGUAAGCAGGCUAGUUGGAUUGCUUUUUUUGUUGUUGUUGUUUUAAACUUUGAUUUACGCGAUUUCUAAAGAGCAUUUUCGAAGUUUGUGUGGUACCAACGGUAUUUAAAGCAAUUUUACUCUUUUCCUGGCCAGUAGCUUCUGAUUAUUUUAUUUAAAGACUACAGUUUGGGUUGGUUUGGGUUUUGGUUUUCUAGUUGUCCAUUAAACUACGUUUUUUAGAGCAAAUGAUGAACAAAGUUAACAUGUAAUUGAAAUAAUUUUAAUUUUCCAACAAUGGCUAUAGUAGUUCUUAGUACUAUAGAUAAUCCCUUAAUUAUCUCUAAACAAUAAAUUAGUGAAAGCAUGGAAUAAUUUGAUCAAAAAGCUGUUACUACAUUUUCUAAAUCUUUCUUCAGAAUCUAGAAAAAAACGAGGUUUCUUUCUUGUAUAUUAUUAAAAAAUAUUUUGUCACUG